GUAUUUGCAUAUUUUCCAGUGAGAAGACCUUUUGUUUUCCAUAAGAAGGCUAUUAUCCAGCAUGUUAAUGGGCUUCCAGCUAUUAAGAUAGUAAGAGAGAAGUGGUGGAACUGCAAUUCACUACACUAACUUAUAUUAACCACCAGUUAUUUAUGCCACUUGGAGGCUGAAACUCCUGGAAACAUGUUGUGUAAGAAAUGACAGGGAAUUUGCAAAGCGGUUGCCUAGCAAAUUGGAGUAUGGAGACAAUGUUAGAUCCCGCUAAAGAUGACCUGCCCCUAAUGGCCAACACAUGCCACAUGCUCGUAAAACAUUAUGAAUUGGACUUAGAUGUGGAUUUUAAAAGCCAAGUUAUUGAAGGCACCAUAGUUCUCUUUUUUGAGCCUGGGAGCAAAUCCAAAAAAGGAGCCAGUGCUUUGGAAGGAACCUGCCUUUCACAGUCAGAUGAAACAUGCAAAAUUAGGGCUUCUGAACCCUGUCACAUUCCUGUGACAAAUGUAAGUGCCCGCUCAUCUAAAACAGGAUAUAAUGAUUUUGCUGUCUGUGCUAAAGGUGAAAAAGAUACUUCUGAUAAAAAUGGUAACCAUAGCAACGGGGAACAGGCUUCUGGGAUUUCUAGUUCAAAGAACUGCUGUGACAUAGAGAAUCAUGGGAGUGAAGAUUUUUUACUGGUAUUGGACUGCUGUGAUUUAUCUGUGUUAAAGGUCGAGGAGGUAGAUGUUGCUGCUGUGCCAGGUAUUGAAAAAUUCACAAGGUCUGCUAAGCUAACUGAUGCUUCUGAAGAGCUGAGAAAUCUUAGGAAUCAGAUUGUACAUGAACUUGUGACAUUACCUGCAGAUCGUUGGAGAGAACAGCUAUACUAUUAUACCCGCUGCAGCCAGGCACCUGGUUGUGGAGAGCUUCUGUUUUCCACUGGCACUUGGAGCUUGGAGAUAAGGAAAGCAGAGAUUAAAGCUCCAAGAGAAUUUCCUCAUGCAAUAAGGAUAUGGUACAAAACAAAACCACAAGGAAGAUCAGUUACAUGGACCACAGACCAGAGUAGCAGGCCAUGUGUUUAUACGGUUGGGUCGCCAAUAAACAACAGGGCCCUUUUUCCAUGUCAGGAACCACCAGUUGCCAUGUCAACAUGGCAAACCACAGUACGAACACCUUCUUGCUUUGUAGUCUUAACGAGUGGUGAAAAUACAGCAGAACCAGCACAACUUCAAGAAGGUCUCUUAAGUUGGUACUAUUAUGUGACCAUGCCAAUGCCAGCAUCGACCUUCACAAUUGCUAUUGGGAGUUGGACUGAAGUUAAAAAGCAAUCCUGCACAGCUGACAUCUGGACAAACAAGGAGUUUUCCUUUCUGCUUUCAAAGGCUGAUCUCAGGUUGAUUGGAGGGAGCUGUGGACACGUGGAAUAUCCUUGCCGUUUCCAAAAUCCUGCUGCCAGUUCUCAGCUAGUCAUUCCUCACCGAGUCUUUGCUCCAUUGUGCCUGAGGGAUCGUUGUGCAGAGAUCAUUCUUGAGCUGAUUCCUCAGUGCCUGUCAGCUGCUCACGCUACAUUGGGUACCCAUCCUUUUUCCAGGCUUGAUGUGUUGAUAGUCCCUUCCAACUUUUCAAGUCUGGGAAUGGCCAGCCCACACAUCAUAUUCCUGUCACAGAGUGUAUUAACUGGAGGAAGCCAUCUCUGUGGAACACGUCUGUGCCAUGAAAUUGCUCAUGCUUGGUUUGGAUUGGCCAUAGGUGCUCGUGAUUGGACUGAAGAGUGGAUAAGUGAAGGAUUUGCUACUUACUUGGAAGAUGUAUUUUGGGCAGUAGCACAACAGCAGCUGCCACAUGACGAAGCAAGAGAGCAGCAGGAGUUGAAAGCUUUGCUGCGCUGGAGACGGCUAAGAGAUGAGGUGCAGAACUCUGAAGAAGAGCUGCAAGUAUUAAGGCCAAACAAAGAGAACACAGGAGAACUGAGUGAGUCUGGAACAUGUACAAUCAAACAUGGUCUUAAUGCAGAAAAAAUCUUCAUGCAGGUUCAUUAUUUGAAGGGCUAUUUCCUUCUGCGGUUUCUAGCCAGGAGAAUUGGAGACACAACAUAUUUAGAAUUUUUAAGAAAGUUUGUGCAGAAGUUUCACGGACAACUGAUCCUUUCUCAGGAUUUUCUUUGCAUGCUGCUGGAGGACAUCCCAGAACAAAAAGGGUUUGUGCUGUCUGUUGAAAAUAUCAUUGAGACCUGGCUUGACACUUCUGGAAUACCAAAGCCUUUGCUGGAAGAGAGUCGAACUUGGGACCAUUGUCGAUUAGUCCAGCAAGUGAAUCAUGAGGUCACAAAAUGGAUUCAAGUAAACCAGAGAGCAAGAAAAAGGAGCAAAAGGAAACGAAGGCAAGAUGAAGUGGCUUUCCAAAAGCUUCUCCCGGACCAGUUGGUUUUACUUCUAGAGUGUCUGUUGGAGGAGAAGACGACAUUAUGUCUCAGAACUCUGCAGUGCUUAGAGAAAACGUACCAUCUUGGUGAGCAAGAUGCAGAGGUUCGGCAUCGAUGGUGUGAGCUUAUUAUUAAACACAAAUACACAACAAGGUAUGCUGAGGUUGAGACAUUUCUUAGGGAAGAUCAGGCUAUGGGUGUUUAUCUGUAUGGAGAAUUAAUGGUGAAUGAAGAUGCAAAACAACAGGAGCUUGCCUAUAAAUGCUUUGCUGCAACACAAACCCAAAUGGAUGUGUCCUCAGCCAAAGUAGUGGCAGAGAUGUUGUUGUGAAAAGUGAUACCCAUCUGGUCAGCUGUGGUGGCCCCAGAGGUAAUGCCUUGCAGUGUCACAAUAUAUAUCCCUGCCAACCCGACUCCUGCUUCAGUUCUUGCCAGUACCAUCCAACAGAGGAGAGGAAGGUGGGUCUGGAAUGGACAUGAACAUCACAUCUCAAAGAACAAGAGUUACAAAAGAAGAAAGUUGAAGCUCUGGACAUUGGGGGUUUCAAUCCAGAUCAAGCAGCAGUGAGAAAGAACUAGAGACACAAUCGUCUCCCUCACCCUUUAUCUCCUUGGCCAAAGUCACAAGGUAAGCCAAGAGACAUAUGCUGACCAACCGACACUGCUUUCAAAAUUCUCCUGGAGAACAUAGGGACCAGAACUUGAAGAAGAUGGAUUUUCAGGAUGCCACCUAAUCUUCAAAACAUAACAUAGGAUCUCAUCUUGCAUUUACCUUAGAAAACUCUCCCCCACACAUGUGAAAUAGCAUCAAAAAAGCUUUGCAGAACUGACAACGUAACUUCUGAACCCGUGUCCCUUCAAUUUCAAAAUCUGCAUGAUAUAUGGAGAAGAAUUCACCUGGAAUGCACAGCCAAACUACAGGAUAUUGGAACUGCAGUAUCCAUGGACCAGAAUCUGUAGGAGCACUUACAGAGAAAAGCUGGGGCCCCCCACACACAGAAUGUUAGAGGAAACUACUUCAUGAACAGGCAACAGGAAGAGUCAGUCAGAAUUUGCUGCAAACAAACUGAAUUUAUUUUCAAUGGCUUUUAAAAACAAAAUACCAUUUAAUCUUUUAUAGAUAGAACUCUUGUAGUGAAGAGCAUGAGGAAUUCACCAAGAGCACAAGUGAAAUUAAUCCACACAAUUCCCAAUGUUUCCACUCAAAUAUAUCCUUUUGAGGCUGGAUUCUUUUAUAAUAUACACUGUUAAGGAAAUUAAUUGCAUCUGUUGAACUUUACUUAGCUAAGAUUCUGUCCAAGGAAAUUCAGUUUAAAACAAAAUUGUCUUGCCUCUCCCAGUUUCUCUCACACCUCUCCCAUCUUUCUCACAAUUCUCUGCCUCUUUCAUUGGUAAAUCUAGUUGUGAAAGAUGACUCUGGAUCUAGCCAGAAGAUAAUUAUGUGAAUCAGUCAAAGAAAGAGGGCAAUGUAGGGGCAUAGGAACCAGGGUCAACUCCAAAUCUUAGUAUCCAAUUUUUGUGCCCUACCUUUCAAAGGCACAUUACUAUUACUGCUUCCAAAAAGUACCAACUAAAAUCAGCAGACAUACUACUGAUCCUGAUUUGCCUAUUUAUGCAUCUAGCACGGACUGUAAAAGGUAUGAAAUGUAUAUGUAAAGGAAGGUACGUAAAAAAAUCUAAUUUGCAUAUUAAAAAUUUGGCUUAAGUUUAGUGUACCACCACACAGAUAUUACACAAACAUACUUACACACACACACACACACACAUAUAAAUAUACACUUAAGUACACUUUAACCCUUAUGGAAAAUGCAAGCCUUCCCAAUUCUUAAUAUGCUAAAGAAUAUUAAUGUAGGACAUAUCAGUAUUUGCAAUGUGUAUAACACGUAUCUUUUGUUUUUAUGACUUUCUAGCAAUUACACAAUUUCUAAUACUAAGUCCAGUUUCGCUCAAAAGGAGGAAAAAUAAUUAACAGCAUGCCAAAUAAAAUACAAAAUUACUAGCCCAUUCCACUCCAAUUACAAUUAGAUUCCAAAUGUAAUAGUAAUGGAUAUCAAGUUUCUUUCAUAGUAAAGCAGAGUCGUCAUCUAUCAGGAUACUGUGAUAUCUAAAGGAAGAGGAGAUAUUUACACUCUUGCUUAAGUUGAUCCAACUUUAGUUGUUCACAGAUAUGAAAAAGCCCUCCCUCAACAACCAACCCAAGUUUCAUGCUGUCCACACCAGUGCUAUGUCAGCAGAAGAUGCUUCUCUGCCAAUCGCUUCUCACUGAGAAGUAAUUAUGCCAAUGGGAGAGCGCUUCCCCCGUCAGCAAAUACACUACAGCUGCGCUGAUACAGUGCUGAAGUGUAGACUUGCCCUAAGAUAGUUACUUACAGUUACAUCACUCAGAUAAUUCAUUGUGAUAAAUGGCUCAGAUGAUGCAGUUCUGAAGAAACUUACUCACCUUACCCAAUUCAGCCACAUAACCAAUUUUUUUCUGGUUACUUUUUCCUUGCUGUAUUGUUUUUAUUGCAAAUAGGAAGGAGAGUCUAAAUUAAUCAUUAAUUUUGGCUCAUUUUGUACUGUAAUUGCCAUGAACCAUAAAGGCACACAGAGGUCACAUCCUGGAAGUGUCAUAAUCAAUCAAACAAAACACAUACUAACAUACGUAAACUGGGUAGGCCUCCCGGAGGGGUACCUCCUCCUUCUGGGCCGGUGGGUGGCCGCUCCACCCUACUGCACACCUGCUUAAAAUAGUCCCUGAGUCAGGAGUUCAUGACCUGAAGCAAGGUUGGGUUAAAGACAAGAGGCAAAUGGUUCAACCCCUGGCCUUGCUUCAGGUCGGGGUGAGAGGCCAAUAGUUCAGGUGCACUCCCCCUAGUACAGGGCAGGCAGAAAACCCCAGUCAGUAUAAGGGCCUAACCCUCACUUAGGGCUGGCAACAGGCACAGUUAGUUCAUAGGCCCAGGCCUUGGUUCAGGCAGGGCGGCAACAAACAAUCUGUUCAGGUCCCCAGCCCUGGUCUGGGCAGGGCUGCAGACAAUCCCCCUGUUAAGAGACUAGUUCAUAAGGUUCAGUCUUGAUUCAGGCGGGGCAACAAAGACACACAGAGAAUUUAUCAGUUCAAAUAGCCCUGGCCCUAGGUCAGGGCGGGGCAGCACACAGUCCACCACAAGUUCAGUAUGCCCUUGGCCUGUCUCAGGCAGAAGCAAUAAUCCCUUAAUUAGUGGAGCCCUGGCCCUGUUUCAGGGCAGGGCAGCAAGUACUAGUCCAGCAGUUUAGGCCUUGUCCCAAGCUGGGCAGCAAACAAACAGUUUAGCAGUCUAGGGAGCCCUAGCCCUAGGUCAGGGAGGGGCAACAAACACAGGUGUGGGGUCUCCUUGUUCAGGAAGGUGGCAAGCCAUUUGCCUGUGGUAGCGAUGAGGGGGAGACUGCCACCCGGUUGUGGGUGGCGCAGGCCCUCCCACUCCACUGCGCCCUGGCCCAGCGCCCUAGAAGCACCAGAGUAGCUGCUGUGGGCUCAGCGGGGGCACUACACCGCAACCCACUGGCCUCAGGCCUUUAACAACCCUCACUACUCCCAGGGCCAUUUCCCUUCUCCCCUUCAACAGGUACCUGGACUUCUGGCAGAGUCAAGGUUCGGGGAGUCAAGGUUGGUCUCAUCCAGCUGGGGUCCUGGUGGUCCGCUCCAGCUCUCAGCCUCUUUCAGGUCCGCUCUGACCACAGCAGGCAGUUCGGCUGGUCCUUGGGGUUCGGCUGGUCCUCAGAGAAUGACCCAGCUGGUGGUCCUUGCGGAUCCGGUGGGCUCCCACAGUCCCGGGGUACAGGCUGGGGUCGGGGUUCAGGCAGGUCCUCUAGGCCGGCCACUCUUGGAUGCCUGGGCCAAGUCUCUGCCUCCCAGGCAGGGAGCUCUAUGCAGGCCUCUGGCUCCUCCAGAGGUUGGGCUCAGACUGAGCUCUUAGCCUGGUUAUUUAUGGUCCUAGGCCUGCCCCGACUUCCAGUCAGGUGACGAGGAGGGGCUAUGCUGCACAGAAAAUGGCUCCUGGAGGGGUUCCUCUGCCUCCGGGUCGAUGGGAGGCCACUGCGCCCCACUACACAUAUCUCUAAAUAAAUGUUCUAAAUAUAUUUUAGAUGGGAUAUUCAUCACACUGGUAGAGCCAACAUUUCCACCUACUAUAUUCUAAAUAUCCCUUAAAAUAGAACACUUAAGGGAAUUAUUAGACUCACUGAUCAUUGCUCUGAUCACAUAAUUUACUCUACCAGCUCUUUCUACCUUGCUAUACCCCAAGUUCAAGCUUGCCUUCACUCUCUCAACUGUACCCUAAUAUCCCUUUUGUAUACUCUUGGCUCUUAUAGCACUGCUUCCUACCAAUAAAGCAAGGAAUAUGAAAUAUGCAUAAUAAGAAAGUGCCAAGCACAAUAUGGCCCAAAUCCUGCAGAGGGGCUCUUGAUGUGAAGGCUUUUAUAUCUAAAAAAAUCAGUAUUAAAGAGAGAUUUUGCUUUCUUUCUAUCUGGAACCAAUGUUUUCUGUAAGCUAUGUACAGUACCUAGAUACUAUGGUGAACAAUGGGUUAAGAAAUGCAGAUGGACGGAUGGAUAAGAAAGUUGUAUUAAAUGGAUUAUGGGAGAGAUACUAUCCCAUGACCACUUUCCAUGGGAAAAAGAGGGAACCGAAAAUGUAUACAUUUACAGAAUCUCCUGAUAUCUUCAGAACUGAUGCAUACACAGGGUCACUGCUAGCAAUUUUGUAGCUUGAAAGCAUGCUAUACAUCAUCUACAGUACAGAACAGCUUAGGCAACCAAUAAGAAAGUUACCUACCUUUCUGUAAUUGUUCUUCAAGAUAUGUCACACAUGUCCAUUCCAGGACAAGUAGGAAAAGGUGCAGGGAUCCAAGUGAUUCAGCCCAGUGAGCCAGGAGAGGACCAGGCUGAGGUCCCACUACAGGACAGGGUUUUACACCUGUGCAGUCACUCAAGGCCCCACAGGAAUCUCACCAUCAUUUCAUGGGAGCACACCACCUACCUAGGGUCACGAAAAGCAGAGGUGGCUGCAAGAUACACUCUGAUGGAAGUAUGUUCCAGGCCCAGACUCCUGAGCUGUAGCAGGUACCUAUGGAAAAUCAUGCCAAUCUAGAUGUAGCCUUGGUGUUGUAGUCAGGCUAAAGGGAAGGACCAUAAACUGAUAGAAAGUGGUCCCUACCAUAAACCAAAGAAAAUGUUGUAACCUGGAAAGAUUGCCAUGUGGAACUACGUGUCCUUCAGGUUGAGGACAGAAUACCAAUCUCCAGAAUCUAGAGCUGGAAUAAUGGAGGACAAGUAGAUGAUACGGAAUUUGAGUUUCAGUAGGUAUCUACUGAGAUGUCUCAGGCCAGAAUGGUCCGCAGACCAUUCAGGAAGUGGGAAAGAUGGUUGCCAAAUGGGGGAAGAGGGGUUUUGGAUCUGUAAGGAAGUCUGGUAUGUCACCUCAGGAACAUCUUCAGAAUGAUUUCUUGACUCCCUGUCUGGAGCAUGUGAAGUCCAAGGCUGAGACACCAACUUUGAAGUUCUCUCAGAUGCUCCUGAAACUGACUUGAGCAGACUGGGAUGAUUGGGUAAACCACACGGGUUCCACGGAUAUCAGGCCACCAGCCACUGUCCUUGCAGCAAUGCCAGAAGGUAUGGUGCCAAAGACUGGGAUAGUGAUAGAAAUGUAGCCGUGUUAGUCUAGGGUAGCUGAAACA